UGAUGGACUUGUGGCAGGAUGAAUGUUAUCCCUCGGUCCAACCCACUUUCAGCCUGGCGCAUUAGGGGGCGCUAGUAUAAAUAGUGGCCAUUUGAGUGUCCCUGGAUCGCUUACCUGUGAUCUCCUUUUUGGUCACCUGACUUCCCUUUGGUGUUGCCGAGAUUAUUUGCGGGUUACACUUCUGAAGCCUCCAUCGCGGCUGGUCGUAGCUGUAGAAGCCUCCUCUGAGCCAUUCUGCUCAUGCUUUAUGACGCGGCUUACUCGGAAGUGUGGGCCUUAGUUUUACGCCACGCUACGCGAACCGAGGUGCUGCUGCUUUGUUUUGCUUUGCUUUGUUUUACUUUGUUUUUACUGUCUGUUCCGGCUGCGAAGUUUCUUUCCUACUGCUGCCAGCCUUUAAAGUGGACGUCGGCGUGGAGAACGGCCAUAUGCAUGCCACGCGGGUCGGCUGGCGUACAUACUGAUUGACGGACUGGAUAAUUAACUUAUAGUCGUGCAGACGGCAAGUUGGAGCAAUACGGCGAUUCCGUUUGCUCCAUAUUUUAGAGUUUUAUCCAGAUUGUAUGUUGUUUUACUGUUGUUUGAUUUGUAGUUACGCCACUGGUGGGAGGCCCUUUUUCUAGCUGUAGAUCACCAGUGUGGUCCUGCAGUUGGGUUAUCCCCCAGCGCUACACAUUAAUUUGUUGUAAUAUAUUAAAAUUUUCUUUGUUUCUUUUAUUCAGAUGCGGAGCGCCGACAUGGAGGAGACUAGGGUGCCUUGGUGGUGGGAUCCUUUCCGUGUACACACCUGCCUUGUUUAGUUUAUUAGUGUGAGUGUGUGAUAGUGUGCUGCACUUGUGUCUUGGUGUGUUUUCUUUUUUUAGUUUGUGUGUGGCAUCCCUGCCCCUCCGCUGGUAAGCCUCAGCUCUGAAUACCUUUUUAAGCAUAUUUGUACAUGGCUAUUUAUGAUUGUGCUUUUAUAUGGUGUUUUAAAUAAUUGUUAAUAAAUUGUCAACUUAUCAUUGAACCUCGUCUCUGUACUGAGUAUAGCAAACCUAAGUGCCUUUUUGGUGAUUUAGUGUUACUUCCAGUAUUCUCUGGGUGAAAUUCCCAGGGUGGCGUUGUCUUUUAAAACUGUGAAGAGUAUUUACUUUAUUUCCACCUCGUGCUGCCACAGACUGUUGCCAAA